AUGCCGGUUUGUUACGGCGGCGGUGGUGACAACUCAACCGAGGGUGUCCUGGCAAGCCGAAGUGCAGCACUGUCUCGAGAUGAUGCUGUAGUGGAGACUGCUGAGGAAGCAGAGGAGCCCGCGGAGGCUGAUGUCAAUGAGCUGUGCCGGUACAUGUUCUCCAAGAUGGCCAAGUACCUGACUGGGGAACUGUCAGCCACCAGCGAAGAUUAUAAGCUCGUGGAAAAUAUGAAUAAGCUAACCAGCUUGAACUAUCUUGAAAUGAAAAAUAUUGCUAUAAAUAUUAGUAGAAACUUAAAGGACUUAAACCACAAGUAUGCCGGAUUGCAGCCUUAUCGGGAUCAGAUCAAUUUAAUUGAGGAGCAGGUAGCAGGCCUUGAACAAGCAGCUUACAGGUUGGAUGCAUUGUCAAAAAAAACUGGAAGCCAAGUACAAGAAGCUGGAGAAGCGAUGGAAACCCUAUCUCUAUGGGACAGAGUCCAUUUUUUAA